rnacentral:tRNA from 1 species
UCCCCUGUAGCUCAGCUGGUAGAGCAGGUGACUGUUAAUCACCUUGUCCGAGGUUCGAGCCCUCGCGGGGGAGCCA